rnacentral:rRNA from 1 species
AUUGAACGCUGGCGGCAUGCCUUACACAUGCAAGUCGAACGGCAGCACGGGUGCUUGCCCCUGGUGGCGAGUGGCGAACGGGUGAGUAAUACAUCGGAACAUGUCCUGUAGUGGGGGAUAGCCCGGCGAAAGCCGGAUUAAUACCGCAUACGAUCUACGGAUGAAAGCGGGGGACCUUCGGGCCUCGCGCUAUAGGGUUGGCCGAUGGCUGAUUAGCUAGUUGGUGGGGUAAAGGCCUACCAAGGCGACGAUCAGCAGCUGGUCUGAGAGGACGACCAGCCACACUGGGACUGAGACACGGCCCAGACUCCUACGGGAGGCAGCAGUGGGGAAUUUUGGACAAUGGGCGAAAGCCUGAUCCAGCAAUGCCGCGUGUGUGAAGAAGGCCUUCGGGUUGUAAAGCACUUUUGUCCGGAAAGAAAUCCUUGGCCCUAAUACGGUCGGGGGAUGACGGUACCGGAAGAAUAAGCACCGGCUAACUACGUG